rnacentral:rRNA from 1 species
UACGUAGGUGGCAAGCGUUGUCCGGAUUUAUUGGGCGUAAAGCGCUCGCAGGCGGUCUUUUAAGUCUGAUGUGAAAUCUUGCGGCUUAACCGUAAGCGGUCAUUGGAAACUGGAGGACUUGAGUGCAGAAGAGGAGAGUGGAAUUCCAUGUGUAGCGGUGAAAUGCGUAGAGAUAUGGAGGAACACCAGUGGCGAAGGCGGCAUCCUGGACCAACACUGACGCUGAGUGAGCGAAAGCCAGGGGAGCAAACGGG